rnacentral:rRNA from 1 species
AUCAGCCGUACUCCGAAUACAUCGUUUAAGAGUUUGAUCAUGGCUCACAUUGAANCUNUGGCGGCAGGCCUAACACAUGCAAGUCGAACGGUAACAGGAAGCAGCUUGCUGCUUCGCUGACGAGUGGCGGACGGGUGAGUAAUGUCUGGGAAACUGCCUGAUGGAGGGGGAUAACUACUGGAAACGGUAGCUAAUACCGCAUAACGUCGCAAGACCAAAGAGGGGGACCUUCGGGCCUCUUGCCAUCGGAUGUGCCCAGAUGGGAUUAGCUAGUAGUGGGGUAACGGCUCACCUAGGCGACGAUCCCUAGCUGGUCUGAGAGGAUGACCAGCCACACUGGAACUGAGACACGGUCCAGACUCCUACGGGAGUGCAGCAGUGGGGAAUAUUGCACAAUGGGCGCAAGUCUGAUGCAGCCAUGCCGCGUGUAUGAAGAAGGCCUUCGGGUUGUGAAGUACUUUCAGCGGGGAGGAAGGCGAUAAGGUUAAUAACCUUGUCGAUUGACGUUACCCGCAGAAGAAGCACCGGCUAACUCCGUGCCAGCAGCCGCGGUAAUACGGAGUGGUGCAAGCGUUAAUCGGAAUUACUUGGGCGUAAAGCGCACGCAGGCGGUCUGUCAAGUCGGAUGUGAAAUCCCCGGGCUUCAACCUGGGGAAACUUGCUUUCCGAAAAACUGGGGCAGACUAGAGUCUUGUAGAGGGGGGGGUAGAAAUUCCCAGUU